UGUUAAGAAUCUCGUUCGUUCGUGCACUUUACCGAACUGUUCGAACGGUUCGAUUCUCGUUCAACCCAAGUAGCAACCGAAGCUUUUUUCUCCCAGUUUCAACCCCCUCAUGUCCAAAAACUGCCUUCGCUUACUAUUCCUAUCCCGUUUCUACAUUCCACAACGUUUGUUGCGUUCUCGCUCAUCAGGGUGUUAGUCAAUUCUCUCUUGCCACACGAAGAGAAUUCUCCUGCACACUUCGUAUGUUGGAUUCUACCCAUCCCUGUUGAACACACGUCAUUUUCUUCCAUCGCACUCAUCAGGGUGUUUGCUCUUUUCCAUCCAAGCCAAAGAGCGACUUCAGUGUGCUCUGAACCGUGGAUGUGAGAGUGUGUGUUUGUGUGCUGCGUGAACUAUUUUUCCUGCGUGAAACACUUUCCAUACUGCGCCAUCCGCGGUGUUCUUUCUGCUUCAUCGGAGGACGAAUUUUUAUCAUCUAAUUGUUUGGGUAAGUGUCCUUUUCUAAGUGUCUAGUGCUAUGUGACAUUUAUUCUAAUUCUAAUAUUAUUCUAAUAUGCAAUGUUUUGCACAUUACAAGUUUCAGAUGUGUGCUGCUACCGCUAGCUGUUCCUCAAACUACUUAAAAAGUGUGACACUGUGUGCACAGGCGUUAGAGUUUCAAUUGAUCCUCAAGCACAAAGCCUUCAUACAACACCGCGGUUGAGGCGCGCCAAAUCUGAUGACAUCUUUCCUGAACCAAGCAGGCUGAACACGCGCACCACCACGGGCUCCAGCGCGGUGUGAAGAGGGAAGAAGAAAAGACAGAAUUGGAAACAGCCGCGCCAGGCUUCCAACCACCGUGUGUGUGUAUGUAAGUAUGUGAGAACACAUGUGUGAAUCUUCUUGUGGGAACUGCAAAAAGAAGAGAAUAAAGAGUGUGAAGCAGCUAGACUGCCGCAACCAAA